AAUAAUAUAAUUUAAUUUUAUUAAUAUUAAUUAAAUAUUUAUUUAUAAUUUUAUUAAAAAAUUUAUUAAGUGAAAUUUUAAAUUUUUUGAAAAAAUUAUAUUUUUAAAUUGAAAUUAAAAAUUUAGUUUUUAAACUAGGAUUAGAUACCCUAUUAUUUUAAAUGUAAAAUUUUUAUUUAAUUAUUAUUAGUUAUGGUCUUUAAAAUUAAAAAAUUUGGCGGUAUUUUAAUCUUUUUAGAGGAACCUGUUCUUUAAAUGAUAAUCCACGAUUUUAUUAACUUUUAUUAUUAAUUUGUAUAUCGUCGUAUUUAAAUAUUUUUUUAGAAUAAUAUUUAUAAUUUUUAUAAAAAAAUUAAUCAGAUCAAGGUGCAGUUUAUAUAGAAGUAGAAAUGGGUUACAAUAAAUAUAUAUUUGGAUAUUUAAUAUUAGUAUUAAAUUGAAAAUGGAUUUAAAUGUAAUUUUAAUUAAUUAGUUUUAAUGAUUUUAGUUCUAAAAU
rnacentral:rRNA from 1 species